rnacentral:piRNA from 1 species
AGCAAGAGCAAAGCCAUGCUGAGGUA